rnacentral:sRNA from 2 species
UAUAACAGCAUGCCGAAUUUUCGCGAGCGAAAAACGGGGGACCCAUUUCGUCAUACAAGCAUAGUUUACCGCGUUGAUAUGAUGAAGCGAAAACGGUGCGGCGCCGGCAAUGCCGGGCGAGCCGUUUCCGCUUGGGGUGAACGAAUCCGGCUGACAGUCAGCUGCGGAUUCCAGGGAACCUUCAACCGAACCCACAGCUAACCUCGUAGGCAAUUGAAGGGAGACUCG